GACGAACCGUGCGAACGUUGUUCGGAAUCACUGGGCUUAAAGGGCGCGUAGGCGGGCGGCCGCGUCCGGGGUGAAAUCCCACGGCUCAACCGUGGAACGGCCUCGGAUACGGGCGGCCUCGAGGGGGGUAGGGGCAUCUGGAACUGUGAGUGGAGCGGUGAAAUGCGUUGAUAUUCACAGGAACUCCGGUGACGAAGGCGAGGUGCUGGACCCCAUCUGACGCUGAGGCGCGAAAGCCAGGGGAGCGAACGGG
rnacentral:rRNA from 1 species